rnacentral:rRNA from 1 species
GACGAACGCUGGCGGCGUGCUUAACACAUGCAAGUCGAACGGAAGGGCCCUUCGGGGUACUCGAGUGGCGAACGGGUGAGUAACACGUGGGUGAUCUGCCCUGCACUUUGGGAUAAGCCUGGGAAACUGGGUCUAAUACCGAAUAGGACCACGCGCUUCAUGGUGUGUGGUGGAAAGCUUUUGCGGUGUGGGAUGGGCCCGCGGCCUAUCAGCUUGUUGGUGGGGUAAUGGCCUACCAAGGCGACGACGGGUAGCCGGCCUGAGAGGGUGACCGGCCACACUGGGACUGAGAUACGGCCCAGACUCCUACUGGAGGCAGCAGUGGGGAAUAUUGCACAAUGGGCGCAAGCCUGAUGCAGCGACGCCGCGUGAGGGAUGACGGCCUUCGGGUUGUAAACCUCUUUCAAUAGGGACGAAGCGCAAGUGACGGUACCUAUAGAAGAAGCACCGGCCAACUACGUG